AACCUGGUGGCUCAGACAGUAAAGCAUCUACCUGCAAUGCGGGAGACCCAGGUUCGAUUCCUGGCUUGGUAA
rnacentral:tRNA from 1 species